rnacentral:rRNA from 1 species
ACGAGAAGACCCUAUAAAUCUUUAUAUUUAGAUUAUUAUAAUUUUAUAGAUUUUUUUUGUUAUAAUAAUCAAUGAUAUUUUAUUGGGGUGAUAUUAAAAUUUAAUAAACUUUUAAUUGUUAAAAUCAUUAAUUUAUGAAUAAUUGAUCCGUUAUUAGCGAUUAAAAAAAUAAGUUACUUUAGGGAUAACAGCGUAAUUUUUUUGGAGAGUUCAUAUCGAAAAAAAGAUUGCGACCUCGAUGUUGGAUUAA